rnacentral:rRNA from 1 species
UACGAAGGGGGCUAGCGUUGUUCGGAAUUACUGGGCGUAAAGCGUUCGCAUGCGGUUUGGUAAGUCCGCUGUGAAAUCCCCGAGCUCAACUUGGGAAUUGCAGUGGAUACUGGCAGGCUGGAGUACGGUAGAGGAAGGUGGAAUUCCCGGUGUAGCAGUGAAAUGCGUAGAGAUCGGGAGGAACACCAGUGGCGAAGGCGGCCUUCUGGACCAGUACUGACGCUCAUGCACGAAAGCGUGGGGAGCAAACAGG